GACGAACGCUGGCGGCGUGCUUAACACAUGCAAGUCGAACGGAAAGGCCUGCUUUCCCUUGUGGAUUGCGGGUACUCGAGUGGCGAACGGGUGAGUAACACGUGAGUGAUCUGCCCCCAACUUGGGUAUAAGUCUGGGAAACUGGGUCUAAUUCCCGAUAGGACUGCAGGGUGGUGCCUGUGGUGGAAAACGAUUUUCUAGUGGUUGGGGAUGAGCUCGCGGCCUAUCAGCUUGUUGGUGGGGUAAUGGCCUACCAAGGCGGCGACGGGUAGCCGGCCUGAGAGGGUGGACGGCCACAUUGGGACUGAGAUACGGCCCAGACUCCUACGGGAGGCAGCAGUGGGGAAUAUUGCACAAUGGGCGGAAGCCUGAUGCAGCGACGCCGCGUGGGGGAUGACGGCCUUCGGGUUGUAAACUCCUUUCGACCGCGAGGAAGCCACCUGGUUGGAAGGGUGGUGACGGUAGUGGUAGAAGAAGCACCGGCUAACUACGU
rnacentral:rRNA from 1 species